AUUGAACGCUGGCGGCAUGCCUUACACAUGCAAGUCGAACGGCAGCACGGGUGCUUGCACCUGGUGGCGAGUGGCGAACGGGUGAGUAAUACAUCGGAACGUACCUUAUCGUGGGGGAUAACGCAGCGAAAGCUGUGCUAAUACCGCAUACGCCCUGAGGGGGAAAGCGGGGGAUCGCAAGACCUCGCGCGAUUAGAGCGGCCGAUGCCUGAUUAGCUUGUUGGUGGGGUAACGGCCCACCAAGGCUCCGAUCGGUAGCCGGCCUGAGAAGGCGGACGGCCACACUGGGACUGAGACACGGCCCAGACUCCUACGGGAGGCAGCAGUGGGGAAUUUUUCGCAAUGGGGGAAACCCUGACGAAGCAACGCCGCGUGGAGGAUGAAGGCCUUCGGGUCGUAAACUCCUGUCGACCGGGAAGAAUGCACCUGACCUAAUACGUCAAAGUGUUGACUGUACCGGUGGAGGAAGCCACGGCUAACUCUGUGCCAGCAGCCGCGGUAA
rnacentral:rRNA from 1 species